rnacentral:rRNA from 1 species
AUUGAACGCUGGCGGCAUGCUUUACACAUGCAAGUCGAACGGUAACAGGCCGCAAGGUGCUGACGAGUGGCGAACGGGUGAGUAAUGCAUCGGAACGUGCCCAGUCGUGGGGGAUAACGCAGCGAAAGCUGCGCUAAUACCGCAUACGAUCUAUGGAUGAAAGCGGGGGACCGGAAGGCCUCGCGCGAUUGGAGCGGCCGAUGACAGAUUAGGGAGUUGGUGGGGUAAAGGCUCACCAAGCCAACGAUCUGUAGCUGGUCUGAGAGGACGACCAGCCACACUGGGACUGAGACACGGCCCAGCCUCCUACGGGAGGCAGCAGUGGGGAAUUUUGGACAAUGGGCGCAAGCCUGAUCCAGCAAUGCCGCGUGCAGGAAGAAGGCCUUCGGGUUGUAAACUGCUUUUGUACGGAACGAAACGGCUCUGGUUAAUACCUGGGGCUAAUGACGGUACCGUAAGAAUAAGCACCGGCUAACUACGUGCCAGCCGCCGCCGUAA